GAUGAACGCUGGCGGCGUGCCUAAUACAUGCAAGUCGAGCGAACAGACGAGGAGCUUGCUCCUCUGACGUUAGCGGCGGACGGGUGAGUAACACGUGGAUAACCUACCUAUAAGACUGGGAUAACUUCGGGAAACCGGAGCUAAUACCGGAUAAUAUAUUGAACCGCAUGGUUCAAUAGUGAAAGACGGUCUUGCUGUCACUUAUAGAUGGAUCCGCGCGGCAUUAGCUAGUUGGUAAGGUAACGGCUUACCAAGGCAACGAUGCGUAGCCGACCUGAGAGGGUGAUCGGCCACACUGGAACUGAGCCACGGUCCAGACUCCUACGGGAGGCAGCAGUAGGGAAUCUUCCGCAAUGGGCGAAAGCCUGACGGAGCAACGCCGCGUGAGUGAUGAAGGUCUUCGGAUCGUAAAACUCUGUUAUUAGGGAAGAACAAAUGUGUAAGUAACUGUGCACAUCUUGACGGUACCUAAUCAGAAAGCCACGGCUAACUACGUG
rnacentral:rRNA from 1 species